UACAGAGGUCUCAAGCGUUGUUCGGAUUUAUUGGGCGUAAAGGGUGCGUAGGCGGCGCCGUAAGUCGGGUGUGAAAUUUCGGAGCUUAACUCCGAAACUGCAUUCGAUACUGCGGUGCUUGAGGACUGGAGAGGAGACUGGAAUUCAUGGUGUAGCAGUGAAAUGCGUAGAGAUCAUGAGGAAGACCAGUGGCGAAGGCGGGUCUCUGGACAGUUCCUGACACUGAGGCACGAAGGCCAGGGGAGCAAACGGG
rnacentral:rRNA from 1 species